rnacentral:rRNA from 1 species
AUCUGGGUGACGGAAUUCAGGGCGACGAACGUGCGUGUUGUGUUUUUUUUUUACGAGAGCGGGGCGCGCGCGUUGGUCGUUUGCAAUUUCCGUUACCACGUUUACUCAGACGUCGCGACCUGUUUGUUGUCGGUCCCUGUUCAAAGGAGCCGCGUUCGAGUUCGUUGUGUGUGUGGUCGCGCGGCGUUUCGGCGUCGCGCGCUCCCGCACGACGAAGACGCGGAUUUUUUUCUGGCUGACGACGGACAGUACGGGUAACGGUGUCCGACGCCGUUGACUCUUUUUUUUGCGUACAACGCGGUCGUCGGUACCGGUCGGCGACGAAUUCUUCGGGCCUCUUUCCGACCCGUCUUGAAACACGGACCAAGGAGUCUAACAUGCGCGCGAGUCGCGGGGUGUCGAGCGUUGGUGCGCGUGUGUGCGCGUGUCGCUACUAUGGUGGCUCGUGCGUGCACGUGUGGCGCGUUCGUUACGUUGCGAAACCCGUACCAUAAUGGAAAAGGCGUAAUGAAAGUGAAUAAUAUUUAAACGGGGAAGAUGGUGUAACCGAGUUCACGUUUCCGCGAUCGUCGGUAUCGCGGCCGGACACCCGCAUUCCCGGGGCGUCUCAACGGACCGUCGCGGAUGCGGACAGGUGGGUUCUAAACCGGCCAACCUGUCGGUCCGCGACGAACCGA